GCGGGGCGGGCCCUGCGCGGCCAUGGCGGCGCCGGGCGCGGAGGAGCUGCGGCCGGGCGGGCCGGGACCCGCGGGCGGCCCGGGGCUCGGCCUGGGGCUCGGCCCGGGGCUCGGCCCCGUCCCGCCGCAUCCCGUCCCGCCGCACCCCGGCGUCUCGCGGCGGCGCGGCCGGACGCUGCUGGUGCGGCACCUGCCCGCCGAGCUGACGGCGGCGGAGAAGGAGGAUCUGCUGCAGCACUUCGGGGCCGUGUCUGUGCGCGUCCUGUCCGACCACGGGCGGCUGAAACAUACUGCUUUUGCCACCUUUCCAAGUGAAAAUGCUGCUGCAAAGGCUUUAUCAAGAUUGCAUCAGCUGAAACUUUUGGGUCACACGUUAGUUGUUGAAUUUGCAAAGGAGCAAGAGAGUGCACAGGUACUUAGCCAGCCUUCUGUCUCAGACAAGUGCAAAAGUUUAGAAGAACCAGUGAAAGAAGAAGAGAAGAUAGAACCAAGCUGUGUUAAAAUAGAGAAUGGAAUUGCACCCAACCAUGGCCUCACCUUUCCCAUCAAUUCUUGCCUCAAAUAUUUGUAUCCACCACCUUCAAGUGCAAUUCUAGCAAAUAUAGCAAAUGCCUUGGCAAGUGUGCCCAAAUUUUAUGUCCAGGUACUCCAUCUGAUGAAUAAAAUGAAUCUUCCUCCACCUUUUGGACCAAUCACUGCUCGCCCUCCCAUGUACGAAGAAUAUUUACCAGUGCCUGUGCCACCUCCCCCAAUCCCACCUCUGCCUCCUGAAGAGCCUCCUUUGCCUGAAGAGGAAGAAGGACUGUCUAGUGGGGAUGAAUCAGAAUAUGAAAGUGAUAAUGAUGAGGAAAAGGAGAGAAUGACCAAGUUGAUGGAAUUGGCAACCCUUCAGCCUAAAAGACCAAUAAACACAAAGAAACGUGGUGUUAGAAAAAAGCAAAGAAUUAAAGACAUGUUGAAUGUUCCUGUGUGUACUUCCCACAGUAACUCGCACCCUACACUGUCACCUUCAGAUGUCUUUGAGCAGCUGCAGCACGUAGGUCAUAAAAAAAUAGAGUUUCAUAUUAGUACUGAGAUCCCAGCUGUUCAGAUAAACUCGGAAAAAGAAGAAAAAAGUGAUCUUCAUGCAACCACGGAAGAAAUCAAUAAUACAGGCUUUGGAAGGAUUUUCCCAGCUCCUAGCUCGAAUGAUAAAAUGGAAACUGAAGAGGAGGAUGAUGAAAUACCAUCAGAAUUUAUUUCUAGAAAGGAUCUAGAAAAAAAUAGACUUUCUAGAGAAGAAAUGGAAAAGUAUUCUGUUUUCAAAAACUAUGAGCCAGGUGAUCCAAAUUGCAGGAUAUAUGUGAAGAAUUUAGCUAAACAAGUUCAAGAAAAGGAUCUUAAGUUCAUUUUUGGAAGAUAUGUUGAUUUCCAGUCAGAGGUGGAACGCAAUAUGUUUGAUAUCCGUUUGAUGAAAGAAGGCCGGAUGAAGGGACAGGCUUUCAUUGGACUUCCCAAUGAGAAAGCAGCUGCCAAAGCACUGAAAGAAGCAAAUGGCUAUGUCUUAUUUGAAAAACCCAUGGUAGUUCAAUUUGCUCGUUCAGCUAGACCAAAACAAGAUGCCAACGAAGGGAAAAGAAAAAAGUAAAACCCUCUGCAAGGUUCUUCAUUCCAUCCAUUGUCUGAAGAUUUUUAAAAUCACAUUUAGAAACAUUCCUGCGUAAAUACUGCAAUAAUACUGUCAUGCAGAGUGUAUCCUUUCUUGUUGUAUCCUUUUUUGUGCAAUAUUUCCUGUAGCACACAACUGCAUCUUAAUUUUCAUACAGAGUAGGUGUGGGGAGGAGUUAACAUGUUUUAAGCUUGAGCUAAUCUAAUAACUUUAAAAAGCAAAUUUUUUCAGGGGGGCAAAAAGAAACCAAUGAGUUGUCUGUAUUGUGUGAAUAGACACAAUGAAGGUUCUCAGUCUUAAAAGGUGACUUUCACCUUCUUCCUCAGAUACCCUACUAAUUUGUGGUCCUGUUCCUUAGAGGAACAGUUCUAGCUCCUAUCAGCUGAUCUGUGUGAAGCUGUGCUGAGCUCACACUGACCAAGUUACCUUGUUUAGUUUAAAAACAUAGUAAUUUAAUAAUAUGUUGGCUAAAAUACAUUGCAGAGCAGUUUUAAUAUUAAGGGGUUGAUCAGUAUUUUAGAACAUUUGAUGAUUAUUGUUGUUCUGGUACAUGAGAAACAAUUUGGAGUUGAUUUAGUUAUUACAUUCCUUACUUUGUCAUUUUGAGUAAAGAAGAAAAUUAACAAUAUCUUGUAAUUAAGUAUUUGAAUCUGGACUAAUAAUCAACUAUUAAUCACUGCUACCUUUUUGUUGGUUGGGUUUUGUUAUAAUGCUGUCUGCACGGAGGUAGUGUUGUUGCUAGUGACCCACAUGUUUCCUGUGGGUUUCAUACUACAUUACUGUUUAACAUUCUGUAAUCUAAAAUUAACACAGUCUGCAUUUAUUAAGAUGAAUUUUUCACAGACAUUAAGCACUUUUUAAAACACUAAGCAUCUUUCAAUUUAGUUGUCAAAAGCCAAUAUAGCACUCCUGGUUUUUUUUUGUAGUUCUUACUUUUAACAUGCUUUUGUGAUGUUCCAGGUUCCUUUUGUGUUUCAUCUCUUUCAAGUAUUAUCGAGCUGGGGAAGAAGCAGUGUAAUCAUCAGGACUCUUGAACUGUGCGUAGUAGCAUUUCUAAAGUAUUUAAGGCAGAGAAUAAAUUUCCCUGUCUUAAAGAUUCUACAUAUCUUUAAAUAACACAAGACUUAUUACAUCAUAAAUGUAUGUUAGAUUGCUUGUGAAAUCUAAUAAAUUAUUUCCCUUCUCUUCA